AAGGUUCCGGCUGAGAAGAAGCCAAAGGCCGGCAAGAAGCUGCCUAAAGACGGUGGUGCCACCGCCGGAGACAAGAAGAAGAAGAGAAACAAGAAGAGCGUGGAGACAUACAAGAUCUACAUCUUCAAAGUUCUGAAGCAAGUUCACCCUGACAUUGGUAUCUCAAGCAAGGCCAUGGGAAUCAUGAAAACAAGAAGAAGAAGAGAAACAAGAAGAGCGUGGAGACAUACAAGAUCUACAUCUUCAAAGUUCUGAAGCAAGUUCACCCUGACAUUGGUAUCUCAAGCAAGGCCAUGGGAAUCAUGAACAGUUUCAUCAAUGAUAUUUUCGAGAAGCUUGCUGCGGAGUCGUCUAGACUUGCGAGGU
rnacentral:lncRNA from 1 species